UACGGAGGGUGCAAGCAUUAAUCGGAUUUAUUGGGCGUAAAGGGCGCGUAGGCGGGCUAGUAAGUCGAAUGUGAAAUACCAAAGCUCAACUUUGGGGCUGCAUUUGAAACUACUAGACUGGAGGAUUGGCGGAGAAAAUGGAAUUCCACGUGUAGCGGUGAAAUGCGUAGAUAUGUGGAAGAACACCUGUGGCGAAAGCGAUUUUCUAGCUUAUACCUGACGCUGAGGCGCGAGAGCAAGGGGAGCAAACAGG
rnacentral:rRNA from 1 species